rnacentral:rRNA from 1 species
AUGCAGUCGAGCGGACCGACGGGAGCUUGCUCCCUUAGGUCAGCGGCGGACGGGUGAGUAACACGUGGGUAACCUGCCUGUAAGACUGGGAUAACUCCGGGAAACCGGGGCUAAUACCGGAUGCUUGAUUGAACCGCAUGGUUCAAUUAUAAAAGGUGGCUUUCAGCUACCACUUGCAGAUGGACCCGCGGCGCAUUAGCUAGUUGGUGAGGUAACGGCUCACCAAGGCGACGAUGCGUAGCCGACCUGAGAGGGUGAUCGGCCACACUGGGACUGAGACACGGCCCAGACUCCUACGGGAGGCAGCAGUAGGGAAUCUUCCGCAAUGGACGAAAGUCUGACGGAGCAACGCCGCGUGAGUGAUGAAGGUUUUCGGAUCGUAAAACUCUGUUGUUAGGGAAGAACAAGUACCGUUCGAAUAGGGCGGUACCUUGACGGUACCUAACCAGAAAGCCACGGCUAACUACGUGCCAGCAGCCGCGGUAAUACGUAGGUGGCAAGCGUUGUCCGGAAUUAUUGGGCGUAAAGCGCGCGCAGGCGGUUUCUUAAGUCUGAUGUGAAAGCCCCCGGCUCAACCGGGGAGGGUCAUUGGAAACUGGGGAACUUGAGUGCAGAAGAGGAGAGUGGAAUUCCACGUGUAGCGGUGAAAUGCGUAGAGAUGUGGAGGAACACCAGUGGCGAAGGCGACUCUCUGGGUCUGUAACGGACGGCGAGCCGAAAGCGUGGGGAGCGAACAGGAUUAGAUACCCUGGUAGUCCACGCCGUAAAC